AGUCCUUUCUCCAGCAUCAUGUCUGCCAGUGUGCCACUGUCCUGCCUGCCAUGACGAGAAUGGACUAAAGCUCUGAACCUGCCUCCAGCGGAAGGUACAGCUCAAGUUAAAGGUGUGCCUCAAGAUCUGGUUUGAAGGCAUGCACUAACCUGCUUCAGGACCUGGAUCAAAAGUUCAUGUCUUCUAGCCUCAGGAUUGGGACCAAAGGCAUGUUGUCUUCCUACCUCAAGAUCGGGAUCACAGAGAGGUUCGUGAGAACGGCAAGUUAGAGAGAGCCUGCCCACGAGCUCCAGCUUUGCUUUCCUCCAAAGUGGGUCUCAUCUCACGCUUUCAGAAGCAGAACCAAAUAAAGCACUGUUGAGUACAAUUGAGCUUCAAAUGCGCUUCAUAGAUUGCAUCAACAAAGGCGGCAGAAAGGACAGAAAAGGACCAGGAAUCCCUUGGGACAUGGAAUUAGAUAUGGUUGUGAACCACCACGUGAAUGGUAAGGACUGAAUCCUUUGAAAGAAACAACAAGUGCUCUUAACCUCUGAGCCAAUUCUCUAGACCCAAGAACAGAUGUUUGGCAAAGGUCACUGGCAGCCAGCAAAUGGAAGAGAGCCUUGUUGGAAGAAGUAUGUUAUGUUAGGGUUGGUCUUAGAGACCCUCCUCCUAGCCAUAUGGGAGU